ACAUAAUAGGGGGGAAAGAGGGUGGGGGAGGGAAAAAAUAAUUUAAAAUACAGGUUAAAAUGCAGCCUCAUUUUAAAGUAGCUGAUAAAUCAAAACCAUAAGGGGAGGGAAACAUAAGGGUCAGACCGAGUCCAAACCAAAGGCCAGGCAGAACAGCUCUGUCUUGCAGGCCCUGUGGAAAUAUGUCAAGUCCCGCAGGGCCCUAGUCUCUUGUGACAGAGCAUUCCACCACGUCGGGGCCAGUGCUGAAAAGGCCCUGGCCCUAGUUGAAACCAAUCUAACCUCCUUGAAGCUCGGACCUCCAAAAUGUUGUCAUUUGUGGACCUUAAGGUCCUCCGCAGGCCAUACCAGGAGAGGUGGUCCCGUAGGUACGUGGGUCCUAGGCCGCAUAGGGCUUUAAAGGUCAAAACCAGCACCUUAAACCUGACCCUGUACUCCACCGGGAGCCAGUGCAGCUGGUAUAGCACCGGGUGAAUGUAAUCCCGCGGCGAGGACCCCGUAAGGAGCCUCACUGCAGCAUUCUGCACCCGCUGGAGUUUCUGGGUCAGCUUCAAGGGCAGCCCCGCAUAGAUCGAGUUACAAUAAUCAGGCCUGGAGGUGACUGUGGCAUGGAUCAUUAAAGGAUGAGCAAGCGAUUCACAGUCCACAUUAAGCCGAGGUGUGCCCAGGCCGUGUGACUUAAUGCAGACUUCAUGGCUACGGCAUCUUAAGUGGUUCCUCACUGCCCUUUCCCUCCUGCCCUCUGCUCUGCUAAACUUCCAGCCUGAUUUCUGGAGAAGUGGAAAGCUUUGCUGACCACUGAGCACCUGUGACUCUCCACUCAGGAAAGGCCCUCUUUUCUUGCGAGAUGGUGGAAAAGUACACAGAGCUGGUAGGGUGUGAUGGGAGUCAUAUUCCAACAAAAACCUGGAAGGUCGCAGCUUCCGCAGCCCUGACAAAGAGACUAGUCCUCAAGCAAACGGCAGCAGCGGUGGCGUGCGGUUCACAAUUCCACUGCCCCUUUGACACAUGUCUUUUAGCAAGGGGAACGAAACCCUAGUAGUAGCUUAGUAGCGGUUAGGGGUACAGGCUGAAGUUUCUAGUAGAUUUUAAGUUUGUAGGGUAUAAAUCCGUAGCAUGUACACGUUCCUUGCCACUUCUAGCAGGAGGGAGGUGGGUUUGAAGGGCGAAGAGUACGAAAUGCGAUGCUGACGAAUGCUGAUUUGUAUAUAUGCAGAGAGUUUUAAACUUAAGAUUUCUCUUCUCCCCCACUGCCCAGCCUCUGUGUCAGCAAUUCUUCCAGGAGUGGCUCCAUGUUUUGGGAUUAGCUUUGCCCUAGGAUAGGGAAAUUUGUCAUUAGAAAGACGUAUGACUCACAUAGCUAUUAGAUUUUUUUCGUUCCUAGGUAGCUUAGGGGUUCUACGAUGAUCAGAUUUGGUUUGUUUUCCCAAUCCAAGAAUUUUAGAGAAAAUGUUUUUAUGGACAUGUAAGAAACACUGAUUAUAACAAAUAAAAAGGAAUUCUUAAAAAAUG